GCAUAUCAAUAAGCGGAGGAAAAGAAACCAACCGGGAUUACCCUAGUAACGGCGAGUGAAGCGGUAAGAGCUCAAAUUUGAAAGCUGGCCCCUUCGGGGUCCGCAUUGUAAUUUGCAGAGGAUGCUUCGGGAGCGGUCCCCAUCUAAGUGCCCUGGAACGGGCCGUCAUAGAGGGUGAGAAUCCCGUAUGGGAUGGGGUGCCCGCGCCCGUGUGAAGCUCCUUCGACGAGUCGAGUUGUUUGGGAAUGCAGCUCUAAUUGGGUGGUAAAUUUCAUCUAAAGCUAAAUAUUGGCCGGAGACCGAUAGCGCACAAGUAGAGUGAUCGAAAGAUGAAAAGCACUUUGAAAAGAGAGUUAAACAGCACGUGAAAUUGUUGAAAGGGAAGCGCUUGCGAUCAGACUCGCUCGCGGGGUUCAGCCGGCCUUCGGGCCGGUGUACUUCCCCGCGGGCGGGCCAGCGUCGGUUUGGGCGGCCGGUCAAAGGCCCCUGGAAUGUAACGCCUCUCGGGGCGUCUUAUAGCCAGGGGUGCCAUGCGGCCUGCCCGGACCGAGGAACGCGCUUCGGCUCGGACGCUGGCAUAAUGGUCGUAAGCGACCCGUCUUGAAACACGGACCAAGGAGUCUAACAUCUACGCGAGUGUUCGGGUGUCAAACCCGUGCGCGCAGUGAAAGCGAACGGAGGUGGGAACCCCUCGGGGUGCACCAUCGACCGAUCCUGAUGUCUUCGGAUGGAUUUGAGUAAGAGCGUAGCUGUUGGGACCCGAAAGAUGGUGAACUAUGCCUGAAUAGGGCGAAGCCAGAGGAAACUCUGGUGGAGGCUCGCAGCGGUUCUGACGUGCAAAUCGAUCGUCAAAUUUGGGUAUAGGGGCGAAAGACUAAUCGAACCAUCUAGUAGCUGGUUCCUGCCGAA
rnacentral:rRNA from 1 species